rnacentral:lncRNA from 1 species
CCCCGACGGAACAGGGAGCUGAUUUCUCCCUGCCCUGUCAACAAGUAUUUGUUUUUUAAAAUUGCGAUCGACUUGCUCUUGACCAACAUCUCUGGCUUUCGCUUUCUUCUUUUAUUCUUUUCCAAAUAGGAGAAGCUGGUGGAACUGGAAAAGUUUCCAGGACUGAAAAGACAGGGACGUACUAACUACGGAGGCAUUUCUUCACCAACGUUUGCAUUAAGCAAACAGACACAAGCUCGCAGCCUCACCCUCCCCACCCCUUUGCCACAUACCAGCACAUCCAGAAAUGGCGCAGGAUCAAAGAUCAGGACUUAAAUCGAAGCUAUGCUAUGGGAUAUGGAAAAUAACGUGACAGAACCAUCUUGCCACUGCCUGUCUCACUUAAAGAUGAUAAGGAAACAUUAUCACAUUAUUUUAAGAUUGAGAGCUCCUUGAGAGCAGACCCCAGGUCUUUCUUCUGUCGUUACGUCUGCAGCAGAUGUAGGAGGACUUCACAUGCCUCAGAAUGCACAGAUCUUCUGCCAGCAAGAAUACACCCAGUACUCCAGAAGUGCCUACAUAUUAUGCAUCCUGGCCCCAAGGAGUGAAGAGCGGCAGCUCUGGGCUCUACGCAGCAACCCGCAGGCUGCAAGUUCGAGGCUCGGGUUUCUCUGGAGAGGCGGUGCUGGAUCCAGCAGUAAACCACUUCAGCCAGCUCUUCUCUCCAAGAACACAAAAGUGCUCUUUUUCUUCCACUGGACACAAAGCAAAUGCCCACUGGUCCCCAAAUAAUAACAUUUGGAUCAGAUUCUUACAGGAAAUAGCUUCUAUUGCCUUAGACGGGAGAGGCUGAAGAGAUGGGGUGUGCCUGCAUCAUUUCCAGAAAGCUCCAUAACAGUGCCAUACUGCCUCUACAAACCUGGAAGGAAGAGACAAGUGGCACGUUCUAAUGAAUGCCAGGCUGUCAUGAAGGCGGUCGUGUGCACUCUAGCCAGGUUCCCACCACCAGGCAGAUUGGGAGCCCUGGAGAAGGUGCCCAGGAUUGAACACAAAAGAGCCAAAGCCCUAAGACCCAGGGCCACACAGAGUGCUGUGGAGUCCGCUGGGCGUCCUGCCUGCCCUCCCAUCCCUGGGCUCUGCCUUCUCCAGGCCCCUGCUGAAUGAGUCUUUGGAAAGCACAACUCUGUUCCUGGCUCUCCUUGCCUCAGAAAUCUGCCCUUGAUCCCUGUUGGCCACCGAAGGAAGUAGAAGUUCUCUGUCUGGCAUUGGAGGUCCUCUGCAGCACCAUCCUGUGGAUCUGUCUGGCCUCUGCUCUGAACCUCAGGCUCCAGUCAAGUGCUUAGAUCCACAUCAAUAGGAAAUGCCCUCUGCAACCCUCCAGGCCUGCUCCCCUCACCACCUCUUGCAUGACGCUUCUCCCCAGAACACCAGCCAUGCCCCAAUCAGAUGAGAUCAUUGUGUCCUUGGUAUUCCCAUAGGAGAGGGUCUCUUGUGGCCCUCCACAAAGUUUGUUGAGAUUCAAUACCUGCUGAGGCAAAUGCUUAAAUGCAGAACCACCCAGAAGAACAGUCAAUCCACUCCUACCAGCAUAUCGUAAAUAAAGCACUAACAAAUUC